GGCGGCGUGCUUAACACAUGCAAGCCGAACGGUGCUAAUGAACCUAGUGAUUAAGCACAGUGGCGGACGGGUGAGUAACGCGUGGGUAACCUGCCGCAUGCAGGGGGACAACAGAGGGAAACUUCUGCGUAAUACCGCAUAAGCGCACGGGAUCGCAUGAUCCGGUGUGAAAAGAUUUGUCGGCAGUGCGAUGGACCCGCGUCUGAUUAGGCAGUUGGUGAGGUAACGGCCCACCAAACCUACCGAUCAGUAGCCGGCCUGAGAGGGUGAACGGCCACAUUGGGACUGAGACACGGGCCCAAACUCCUACGGGAGGCAGCAGUGGGGAAUAUUGCACAAUGGGGGAAACCCUGAUGCAAGCGACGCCGCGUGAGUGAAGAAGCAUUUCGGUGCGUAAAGCUCUGUCAGCAGGAAAGAAAAUGACGGUACCUGACCAAGAAGCCCCGGCUAACUACGUGCCAGCAGCCGC
rnacentral:rRNA from 1 species